rnacentral:rRNA from 1 species
CGCUUGCGACCAGACUUGAGCGCGGCGGUUCCCCCGGGCGUCUGCCCGGGCUACUCCGCCGCGUGCAGGCCAACAUCGGUUCUGGGGGUCGGUCAAAGGCCCCGGGAAUGUAUCUACCCUUCGGGGUCGACUUAUAGCCCGGGGCGUCAUGCGGCCACCCGGGACCGAGGAACGCGCUCCGGCACGGAUGUUGGCGUAAUGGUCGUCAGCGGCCCGUCUUGAAACACGGACCAAGGAGUCUAACAUCUAUGCGAGUGUUUGGGUGUCAAACCCCGGCGCGGAAUGAAAGUGAACGGAGGUAAGAAGCCCCCGGGCUGCAUUAUCGACCGAUCCUGAAGUUUACGGAUGGAUUUGAGUACGAGCAUAGCUGUUGGGACCCGAAAGAUGGUGAACUAUGCGUGAAUAGGGUGAAGCCAGAGGAAACUCUGGUGGAGGCUCGCAGCGGUUCUGACGUGCAAAUCGAUCGUCAAAUUUGCGUAUAGGGGCGAAAGACUAAUCGAACCAUUGGAAGACAGCCGUCAGGUGGUUGAGUGUGGCCGGCAAACGGACCACAAGUGCGCUGUCCGGCGCAACACUGCCAAACUGCGGGGACUCCCUAAAGACCGCGACACCAAGUGUGCCUCGAAAGAGGGACAUGGCCGAGCUAAUUGCCCUGGGUAUGGUAACAGUUCGCGGUAUAAGCCCGGCGCGCCGGGUGCAAUGGGUGACCUGCAGCCAAGUCCUACGGCCCCCCGGGCUACGGACGCAGUCCACAGACUAGAUGGCAGUGGGUGGGGGGCGGUGGUCCCCUGCUUAAGAUAUAGUCGGUCCCCCCGGGAGAGCCGGGGCGGCACGCCAAACCUGUGACCACGGAUAGGCCCUCUGGGGUUGGCACAGGCGG